CAAUAGCGUAUAUUAAAGUUGUUGCAGUUAAAAAGCUCGUAGUUGGAUUUCUGGUGGGAGCGACCGGUCGGCGCUUAACGGCGUGUGCACUGGAGUUGUCUCUUGCCAUCCUUGAGGAGAACGUGUCUGGCAUUAAGUUGUCGGGCUUGGGAUCCUCAUCGUUUACUGCGAAAAAAUUAGAGUGUUUAAAGCAGGCAUUUGCUGUGAAUACAUUAGCAUGGAAUAAUAAGAUAGGACUUUGGUGCUAUUUUGUUGGUUUGCGUACCAAGGUAAUGAUUAAUAGGGAUAGUUGGGGGUAUUCGUAUUCAAUUGUCAGAGGUGAAAUUCUUGGAUUUAUGGAAGACGAACAACUGCGAAAGCAUUUACCAAGGAUGUUUUCAUUAA
rnacentral:rRNA from 1 species